CUAAGCGUACACGGUGGAUGCCCUGGCAGUCAGAGGCGAUGAAGGACGUGCUAAUCUGCGAUAAGCGCCGGUAAGGUGAUAUGAACCGUUAUAACCGGCGAUUUCCGAAUGGGGAAACCCAGUGUGACUCGUCACACUAUCAUUAACUGAAUCCAUAGGUUAAUGAGGCGAACCGGGAGAACUGAAACAUCUAAGUACCCCGAGGAAAAGAAAUCAACCGAGAUUCCCCCA
rnacentral:rRNA from 1 species